rnacentral:sRNA from 1 species
CCAGGGAACAGUCACUGAGGAUAAGAACAAUGCCUCCCAUGUUGUGUAUCCUGUCCCGGGGAAUCUAGAAGAAGAGGAAUGGGUACGACCAGUCAUGAAGAGGGAUAAGCAGGUUCUUCUGCACUGGGGCUACUAUCCUGACAGUUAUGACACAUGGAUCCCAGCAAGUGAAAUUGAAGCAUCUGUGGAAGAUGCUCCAACUCCUGAGAAACCUAGGAAGGUUCAUGCAAAGUGGAUCCUGGACACCGACACCUUCAAUGAAUGGAUGAAUGAGGAAGACUACGAAGUAAAUGAUGACAAAAACCCUGUCUCCCGCCGAAAGAAGAUUUCAGCCAAGACACUGACAGAUGAGGUGAACAGCCCGGAUUCAGAUCGACGGGACAAGAAGGGGGGAAACUAUAAGAAGAGGAAGCGCUCCCCCUCUCCUUCACCAACCCCAGAAGCGAAGAAGAAAAAUGCUAAGAAAGGGUGUGCCAGCCCCUAGCCUGCCCCCAUGUUCACCAUUCUCUCCACAUCAUGUUGAAGGAAGGAAAGACAAAUCCCUUCCUAUAACCACCUGGCCCUGACCUGGGUGUGCCAUAAUACUGCAGGUGUCCUGAGAGGGAAGAUGAGGAGAUCUUUAGCUGCUCAGUUGUUAGUUCUGGUUCUGGCCCCACUAGUAAAUUUAAAGAGAGCUUUAUCAAAUGAAAAGCCUUUGCCACUUCCCAUUACUCUGUGAUUACUGGUUUCUGUUUGUACUUAGCUCUACCUUUGGAAUUCUCUGUCACUUCCCUUCCCUUGAACUUCAACUUCCAGGGACUCCUUGUCCAAGGAUGACUGGGUUCUCUUUCACUCUUUCCUUCCCAGUCCCUCAACACCUUACACUAAGUCAAAGCGUGGCCACAGAGAAGAGGAGCAAGAAGACCUGACAAAGGACAUGGACGAGCCAUCACCAGUCCCCAAUGUAGAAGAGGUGACGCUUCCCAAAACAGUCAACACAAAGAAAGACUCAGAGUCGGCCCCAGUCAAAGGCGGCACCAUGACUGACCUGGAUGAACAGGAAGAUGAAAGCAUGGAGACG